CCUACGGGCGGCUGCAGUGGGGAAUAUUGGACAAUGGGCGAAAGCCUGAUCCAGCCAUGCCGCGUGUGUGAAGAAGGCCUUCGGGUUGUAAAGCACUUUCAGUGGGGAAGAAAGCCUUGGGGCUAAUACCCUCGAGGAAGGACAUCACCCACAGAAGAAGCACCGGCUAACUCCGUGCCAGCAGCCGCGGUAAUACGGAGGGUGCGAGCGUUAAUCGGAAUUACUGGGCGUAAAGCGCGCGUAGGCGGUCUGAUAAGCCGGUUGUGAAAGCCCCGGGCUCAACCUGGGAACGGCAUCCGGAACUGUCAGGCUAGAGUGCAGGAGAGGAAGGUAGAAUUCCCGGUGUAGCGGUGAAAUGCGUAGAGAUCGGGAGGAAUACCAGUGGCGAAGGCGGCCUUCUGGACUGACACUGACGCUGAGGUGCGAAAGCGUGGGUAGCAAACAGGAUUAGUUACCCUGGUAGUC
rnacentral:rRNA from 1 species